rnacentral:tRNA from 1 species
GUGACCGUAGCUCAAUUGGCAGAGCGCCGCGCUGUGGCCGCGGCGGUUGCGCGUUCGAGUCGCGUCGGUCACC